GGGGUUGUCUCGAUUCGACAGGAUGUACGUUGAAAAUACGCAAGCCGAUUAUGAGGGUGAUAUCGAAAAUCUCUCCCUCACGAUGAUACCUGCAAACUUCAUCACCAAGGCAAAAGCAGCCUUCGCGCAAGCGUUUCGGCCAGCAUUUGCUUCUGCUCUCGCGUAAUUUCGUAGGAGCCAUCGGACUCCCGAUUCCCGGUACGGAAUCUCCGGUGUCAUAUUUCCGGGAAGGCCCGACUCCCUCGCCUCGUGAGGAUUCGGUUGCCAUUUGCUCACGGGGCAAGUCGAUCCGAUUUAGUGCGCUUUGACGGCUCGACAAAAAGAAGCACACUACGCUUGUAGACUAUUUUUGAUCCUCAUCACUGGACAUGGGUGCAAUUCCCAUCAACUCCACUU
rnacentral:tmRNA from 1 species